AGGGAAUAUUGCAAAAUGGGCGAAAGCCCGAUGCAGCAACGCCGCGUGGGCGAUGAAGGCCUUCGGGUCGUAAAGCCCUUUUUGAGGGGAUGAGGAAGGACAGUACCCUCAGAAUAAGCCUCGGCUAACUACGUGCCAGCAGCCGCGGUAAAACGUAGGAGGCGAGCGUUAUCCGGAUUUACUGGGCGUAAAGCGCGUGCAGGCGGAUUGGAGAGUUGGAUGUGAAAGCUCCCGGCUUAACUGGGAGAGGUCGUUCAAUACUUCCAGUCUUGAGUGCAGUAGAGGGAAGUGGAAUUCCGGGUGUAGUGGUGAAAUGCGUAGAUAUCCGGAGGAACACCAGUGGCGAAAGCGGCUUCCUGGACUGUAACUGACGCUCAGACGCGAAAGCUAGGGUAGCA
rnacentral:rRNA from 1 species